GUCUACUGCCAUGCCACCCUGAACAAGCCCUAUCCCGUCUGAUCUCGGAAGCUAAGCAGGGUCGGACCUGGUUAGUACUUGGAUGGGAGACCACCUAGGAAGAUCAGGUGCUGUAGGUG
rnacentral:rRNA from 1 species